UUCACCUACGGGACGCAGCAGUAGGGAAUAUUGCUCAAUGGGGGAAACCCUGAUGCAGCAACGCCGCGUGAGUGAGGAAGUAUUUCGGUAUGUAAAGCUCUAUCAGCAGGGAAUAGAAAAGAAGGUACCUGAAAAAGAAGCCCCGGCUAACUACGUGCCAGCAGCCGCGGUAAUACGUAGGGGGCAAGCGCUAUCCGGAUUUACUGGGUGUAAAGGGAGCGUAGACGGAAAGGCAAGUCAGAAGUGAAAACCCAAGGCUCAACCAUGGGACUGCUUUUGAAACUGUCAAACU
rnacentral:rRNA from 1 species